rnacentral:rRNA from 1 species
GGAUCAAUACGUCGGUCGUGCCUCUGGUAUGAACUGGUGUUAUUGAUUCCUCCUUUCUGAUAAACCAUGAUGUCAUCAAUUUGGUGUUGUGGGAGUCAGGACUGUUACUUUGAAAAACUAGAGUGUUUAAAGCAGGCCUACGCUUGAGUACAUUAGCAUGGAAUAAUGAAAUAGGACGUUCGAACCUAUUUUGUUGGUUUCUAGGAUCAACGUAAUGAUUAAUAGGGAUAGUUGGGC